CAUGUUUUAACUGUAGUGACUGAAAAUUUGUUACUACGCUAGUCUAUGCUCCAACCACCUGGUAUAUCAAUCAGUCAGGCCAACAGUCGGGGUUGCAUGGGAUUGCGCAAGUCUUUGCCAGUGCGACUAUGUAAUGGCUAUGUCUACUAACGUUUUUUCUACGUGUGUUUUACACAUGAUACUAGUAUGGCGCUGUGGCAUGCCCGCAGUCCCCACUACGACCAAUGGAAUGUUUGGAGAAUAUGUCCAAGCUUUCAAGUUUGAUGUGAUCCUUUUUUUUUUACAUGUUGGCCUGCUGUUUAAAACCUUUCUCCCCUUUCCUAGCUCCCCCUUUUCCGCUAUGGAAUAACCCAUGGUCGCUGGCCAAUGGGCUGCCUAGUAUUCAUAUUGCGCAAUAUUGCGCAAUGCAGAUGAAACGUAAACCAAGCUGAUCCGUGCACAGCAGUCAUUUCGCUGCCAGACAGAGGGGAGACAACACAUGUCUGGGACCGGUCUCUGAUGAUUAGUAACAACUGCCCCCACGAAGUCAACGCACUCCCCUGCACUUCGAACGCAGGACAGUGAAGAAGUGAAACCUAAUGACGGUUGAUGAUUGACAGGACGCGUGUGAACCUGACAUCUUGCUAUAUUGCCGGUUAAUUGAAAACGUGACAAACCCUGAUUUCUCCGAUGACCCCGAUAACCCGAUGACCCCGGGGCAGAGAAAGCUGACAUAGCUUGAUACAACGUUUGCCGGUUCCCACGUUGUUGUUUUUUCCAACAUUUCCAAACUCCCCCUUUUCCGCUAUGGAAUAACCCAUGGUCGCUGGCCAAUGGGCUGCCUAGUAUUCAUAUUGCGCAAUGCAGAUGAAACGUAAACCAAGCUGAUUACGAACACAGCAGUCAUUUCGCGGCCAGACAGAGGGGAGACAACACGUGUCUGAGACUGGUCUCUGAUGAUUAAUUACGACUGACCCCACGAAGUCAACGCACUCACCUGCACUUCGGGGCUCAUCAUAAAGAUAAACAAGAUCAAAAGAAGUACUAUAAUACUUGCAGUGGAAAGGAAACAUCUCAUCAUCAUGGACUUCUUAUUCUAUUUCUUAUCACUUUUAUUAUUCUCAUUCAAAAACGAAUCA